rnacentral:rRNA from 1 species
GCAUCGGAACGUAUCUUCGAGUGGGGGAUAACGCACCGAAAGGUGUGCUAAUACCGCAUAAUCUCUACGGAGAAAAGCAGGGGAUCGCAAGCCUUGCGCUCUUGGAGCGGCCGAUGUCUGAUUAGCUAGUUGGUGAGGUAAAGGCUUACCAAGGCGACGAUCAGUAGCUGGUCUGAGAGGACGACCAGCCACACUGGGACUGAGACACGGCCCAGACUCCUACGGGAGGCAGCAGUGGGGAAUUUUGGACAAUGGGGGAAACCCUGAUCCAGCCAUGCCGCGUGAGUGAAGAAGGCCUUCGGGUUGUAAAGCUCUUUCAGCCGGAACGAAACCGUCACGGUUAAUACCCGUGACUACUGACGGUACCGGAAGAAGAAGCACCGGCUAACUACGUGCCACCAGCCGCGGUAAUACGUAGGGUGCGAGCGUUAAUCGGAAUUACUGGGCGUAAAGCC